GAGAAAUAGAUGAAAUCUCAUCAUCGUUUUGGUACUCUUUGCUGCAUCUUCACUCUAAUCAUUUUGUGGAAAGGUGAAAGAUGACCAGAUCUUUCUCUUGAUUAAUGCUGGUUUCCUUACUCGCCAGCUAAUUGAUUCAAACAUAUACUAGUUUGCUAUUCCAAGUAUUGGCUCAGUACUCGAGGUCUUUCACAGGUAAAUUAUCUUAUGGUUUUGCCUUUUUAAAAUUUGAUGUAUGAUCCCUUAGUAACUUAUUACAUUUGGCUUUUUGUUGGCUAGAUACAAAUAUGUGUGAAAGUUAACAUGCACUGCCCCUUCAAAUAAAUGAGGAUCAGACGUUUGGAUACUCAAGUCAUUAAGAUGAUGCUCCCUCUAAUGAAAACUGAACCCAAUGUCUGUUGAAUUGAGAGUCCGAGCCAAAAAAAAAAAAAAAAAAAAGAUUUGCUUUAGUUGCAAUUUGGUCCUUUUUACCCCUUGUUCAGGUCCUGAUUUUGUUACCUAGUACAUGUGAUUUUCUUUAUGUCUAUUCAAUUGUCAUUUCAUGUCUAUGCAAGUACUCAGGACUUCAGGAGUACAAGCUCUUGCCAUGUAACUAGAACGUUACUAUGUUUCAUUUU